rnacentral:tRNA from 1 species
AGUCUUAUAAUCAAAAAUUAUGAUUUUAAAUUGCAAGUUUAAAAGUGGGCUAAGCCUUAAGGCUU